GACGAACGCUGGCGGCGUGCUUAACACAUGCAAGUCGAGCGGUAAGGCCCUUCGGGUACGACGAGCGGCGAACGGGUGAGUAACACGUGGGUGACCUGCCUCUAGCUCUGGGAUAAGCCUGGGAAACUGGGUCUAAUACCGGAUAUGACUCCACGGCGCAUGUUGUGGGGUGGAAAGCCUUGUGUGGCUAGAGAUGGGCCCGCGGCCUAUCAGCUUGUUGGUGGGGUGAGGCCUACCAAGGCGACGACGGGUAGCCGGCCUGAGAGGGCGACCGGCCACACUGGGACUGAGACACGGCCCAGACUCCUACGGGAGGCAGCAGUGGGGAAUCUUGCGCAA
rnacentral:rRNA from 1 species